AUGAGAGCCCAGGACGGCUGGGAAUACUUUAAGGAAGUUAUUUUAAAGGUGCAGGAGCUGACCGUCCCCAAGACACAGAACACGAGCCAUUGGGGUAGAAGACCGGUCUGGCUGAACAGAGACCUUAACCUGGAACUCAGGAACAAAAGGAAAGUUUAUGGUCUUUGGAAGAGGGGACAAGCAACUUAUGAGGAUUACAAGUACCUAGUGAAGCUGUGCAGGGACAAAACUAGAAAAGCCAAAGCCCAGCUAGAACUGAACUUGGCCACUAAGGUGAAGAACAACAAUAAAUAUUUCUAUAAAUACAUCAAUAGUAAAAGGAGGGCUAGGAAGAAUCUCCAUCCCUUGUUGGAUGCUGAGGGCAACACGGCGACCAAGGAUCAGGAUAAGGCUGAGGUACUUAAUGCCUUCUUUGCCUCAGUCUUUAAUAGUAAAACUAGUUGUGCCCUGGGCACACAGCCCCUUGAGCUGACAGAUCGGGACAGGGAAGAGAAAAGGCCAUACACAAUCCAUGAUGAGACGGCUUUGGACCUGCUCCGAAAGCUGGACACUCACAAGUCCAUGGGGCCAGAUGGAUUGCACCCUAGAGUGCUGAGGGAGUUGGCGGAUGUGGUUGCCAGGCCGCUCUUCAUCAUCUUUCAACAGUCCUGGCUAACAGGGAAUGUCCCGGUUGACUCAAGACUAGCAAAUGUGAUUCCCAUCUUCAAGAAGGGCCAGAAAGAUGAUCCUGGUAGCUACAGACCUAUCAGUCUCACCUCGGUGCCAGGGAAGGUUAUGGAACAGAUUAUCUCAGGAGCCAUCAUGGAUCAAUUAAAGGUCAACCAGGGGAUCAGGCCCAGUCAGCAUGGGUUCAUGAAUGGUAGAUCCUGCUUGACAAACCUGAUUUUGUUCUAUGACAAGGUGACCUGCUUAGUGGAUGAAGAUAACGCUGUCGAUGUGGUCUGCCUGGACUUCAGUAAGGCCUUUGACACUGUUCUUCACAGCAUCCUUGUGGAGAAGCUGGCUGCCCAUGGUUUGGAUGGGCAUAUGCUCUGCUGGAUCAAACACUGGCUGGAUGGCUGGGCCUAA
rnacentral:lncRNA from 1 species